rnacentral:rRNA from 1 species
GUACACGCUGUGACUAGCAUAUCAAUAAGCGGAGGAAAAGAAACUAACAAGGAUUCCCCUAGUAACGGCGAGUGAAAGCGGGAAGAGCUCAAAUUUGAAGUCUUAAAGGGUUUCCCUUUACGAAUUGUAGUUUAAAGAAGUGUUUUCUGUUGAGGUUUUGGUAAAAGUUCUUUGGAAUAGGACAUCAUAGAGGGUGAGAAUCCCGUAUUUGACCUUUACUUUCAACUUUGUGAUACACUUUCAAAGAGUCGGAUUGUUUGGGAAUGCAGUCCAAAAUGGGUGGUAAAUUUCAUCUAAAGCUAAAUAUUGGCGAGAGACCGAUAGCGAACAAGUACCGUGAGGGAAAGAUGAAGAGAACUUUGAAAAGAGAGUUAAACAGUACGUGAAAUUGUCAAAAGGGAAGCGUUUGACACCAGUGUUGUUUUUCUGAAAAUCAAUUAAAGAACUGUUUAUGCUAAGCUGUUUAGACUUUAUCAGCUAUCUGUUUAGUUUUGAGCUUUUCUUUAAUGCACUUUUCAGUUAACAAGUCAACAUCAAUUUCUUUUGCCGUAAAAAAGCUUGAGGAAGGUGGCUUGAGAUUCGUCUUAAGUGUUUAUAGCCUCUUGCCUAUGCAGUCGGAGAGAUUGAGGUCUGCAGCGUAGAUCCUUCGGGGCUAAAUGCAUUUGUGCUAAGUUAUAGCAUUUUAUAGACAACUUGUUGACUAUGAUUUGUCUUGUAGCUUACUCGCUUAUGUUAUUUUACCUACGCUUAGGAUGUUGAUCUACAGAGCGAGAGU